rnacentral:rRNA from 1 species
CCUACGGGCGGCAGCAGUGAGGAAUAUUGGUCAAUGGGCUUACGCCUGAACCAGCCAAGUCGCGUGAGGGAAGACUGCCCUAUGGGUUGUAAACCUCUUUUGUCAGGGAGCAACGCCGGCUACGUGUAGCCGGACUGAGAGUACCUGAAGAAAAAGCAUCGGCUAACUCCGUGCCAGCAGCCGCGGUAAUACGGAGGAUGCGAGCGUUAUCCGGAUUUAUUGGGUUUAAAGGGUGCGUAGGCGGAAUGCCAAGUCAGCGGUAAAAUCGCGGGGCUCAACCUCGCUCCGCCGUUGAAACUGGCGUGCUUGAGUGGGCGAGAAGUAUGCGGAAGGCGUGGUGUAGCGGUGAAAUGCAUAGAUAUCACGCAGAACUCCGAUUGCGAAGGCAGCAUACCGGCGCCCAACUGACGCUGAAGCACGAAAGCGUGGGUAUCGAACAGGAUUAGAUACCCCAGUAGUC